AACGAACGCUGGCGGCAUGCCUAACACAUGCAAGUCGAACGAGACCUUCGGGUCUAGUGGCGCACGGGUGCGUAACGCGUGGGAACCUGCCCUUAGGUUCGGAAUAACUCCCCGAAAGGGGUGCUAAUACCGGAUAAUGUCUUCGGACCAAAGAUUUAUCGCGUUUGGAUGGGCCCGCGUUGGAUUAGCUAGUUGGUAGGGUAAAAGCCUACCACGGCGACGAUCCAUAGCUGGUCUGAGAGGAUGAUCAGCCACACUGGGACUGAGACACGGCCCAGACUCCUACGGGAGGCAGCAGUGGGGAAUAGUGGACAAUGGGCGAAAGCCUGAUCCAGCAAUGCCGCGUGAGUGAUGAAGGCCUUAGGGUUGUAAAGCUCUUUUAACCGGGAUGAUAAUGACAGUACCGGGAGAAUAAGCUCCGGCUAACUCCGUG
rnacentral:rRNA from 1 species